rnacentral:rRNA from 1 species
GAAUAUUGCGCAAUGGGGGAAACCCUGACGCAGCGACGCCGCGUGAGUGAUGAAGGCCUUCGGGUUGUAAAGCUCUGUUCUCGGGGAAGAAAAAAAUGACGGUACCCGAGAAGAAAGGACCGGCUAACUUCGUGCCAGCAGCCGCGGUAAGACGAGGGGUCCUAGCGUUGCUCGGAAUCAUUGGGCGUAAAGCGGGUGUAGGCGGCUUAGCAAGUCAGAAGUGAAAGUCCUGGGCUCAACCCGGGAAGUGCUUUUGAAACUGCUGAGCUUGAGUGUAGGAGAGGGCAGUAGAAUUCCUGGUGUAGUGGUGAAAUACGUAGAUAUCAGGAGGAAUACCGGAGGGGAAGCCGGCUGCCUGGCCUAACACUGACGCUCAGACCCGAAAGCGUGGGGAUCAAAC